CUGUCGUCAGCUCGUGUCGUGAGAUGUUGGGUUAAGUCCCGCAACGAGCGCAACCCUCAUCCUUAGUUGCCAUCAGGUAAUGCUGAGUACUUUAAGGAAACUGCCAGUGAUAAGCUGGAGGAAGGUGGGGAUGAUGUCAAGUCAUCAUGGCCUUUAUGGAGUGGGCUACACACGUGCUACAAUGGUGUCUACAAUGGGCUGCAAGGUGCGCAAGCCUAAGCUAAUCCCUAAAAGACAUCUCAGUUCGGAUUGUACUCUGCAACUCGAGUACAUGAAGUUGGAAUCGCUAGUAAUCGUGGAUCAGCAUGCCACGGUGAAUACGUUCUCGGGUCUUGUACACACUGCCCGUCACGCCUUGGGAAUUGA
rnacentral:rRNA from 1 species